AACGAACGCUGGCGGCAGGCUUAACACAUGCAAGUCGAGCGCCCCGCAAGGGGAGCGGCAGACGGGUGAGUAACGCGUGGGAAUCUACCCAUCUCUACGGAAUAACGCAUGGAAACGUGUGCUAAUACCGUAUACGUCCUUCGGGAGAAAGAUUUAUCGGAGAUGGAUGAGCCCGCGUUGGAUUGGCUAGUUGGUGGGGUAAAGGCCUACCAAGGCGACGAUCCAUAGCUGGUGUGAGAGGAUGAUCAGCCACACUGGGACUGAGACACGGCCCAGACUCCUACGGGAGGCAGCAGUGGGGAAUAUUGGACAAUGGGCGCAAGCCUGAUCCAGCCAUGCCGCGUGAGUGAUGAAGGCCCUAGGGUUGUAAAGCUCUUUCACCGGUGAAGAUAAUGACGGUAACCGGAGGAGAAGCCCCGGCUAACUUCGUGCCAGCCGCCGCCGUAAAAC
rnacentral:rRNA from 1 species